AUCUGGAUGGUUCAGUCGGUAGAGCAUGAGACUCUUAAUUCCAGGGUUGUGGGUUUGAGCCCCACGUUGAGUG
rnacentral:tRNA from 1 species